rnacentral:lncRNA from 1 species
CUCUAGAAUUAUUAUAAAAUUUGAUUUGGUUUAAACCCUACUAUCCAUUGAAUUUUCUUAAUAAUUUAUCCCUCAGUAUCUCUAAAAUUAUCUAGACUAUUACUCACUCAUUGAUUAAGGUGCCUAAUUAACUUCUAAUCAAAAUAAAGUUUGGAUACAUACAGCUAAUUAUUUCAGAUCAUAUUUAAGGACUCACUAAAACUUUAUUCUCUCCC